rnacentral:rRNA from 1 species
CCUACGGGAGGCAGCAGUGGGGAAUAUUGCACAAUGGGGGAAACCCUGAUGCAGCGACGCCGCGUGAAGGAAGAAGUAUUUCGGUAUGUAAACUUCUAUCAGCAGGUAAGAAGAUGACGGUACCUGACUAAGAAGCACCGGCUAAAUACGUGCCAGCAGCCGCGGUAAUACGUAUGGUGCAAGCGUUAUCCGGAUUUACUGGGUGUAAAGGGAGCGUAGACGGAGAGGCAAGUCUGAAGUGAAAGCCCGGGGCUCAACCCCGGGACUGCUUUGGAAACUGCAGUUCUAGAGUGCCGGAGAGGUAAGCGGAAUUCCUAGUGUAGCGGUGAAAUGCGUAGAUAUUAGGAGGAACACCAGUGGCGAAGGCGGCUUACUGGACGGUGACUGACGUUGAGGCUCGAAAGCGUGGGGAGCAAACAGGAUUAGAUACCCCGGUAGUC